GAAAAAAGAGAAAGGAGAUCAGGGUUUUGAGGUUGGAGGAGAAGGUCGGAUAAAAAACUGAUGUCGAAGAUCUGAGAAUUCUCGACCUAGACCUUCAGCAGUCCAAGGCAAGGUGCGUUCACGAAUUGCACUUUCCUAUUUCGUCAAAAACAACCAAGAACUCAAGGACUGUGAUCUUCGCAAGUUUUGGAGUGAAGGCGGUCGAGACUUCCGUUCGAAUCGGAGUUUCAAGAAAACGAGAUUUUUGGAGAGAGAGAGGAUGUCGCCACGCGUCGGCCGACAUAAGGAGGAGCGCGGCAGAAUCGACGUUAGACACGUGUCGUGUUCCGAUUGGUGAGGUGUGCUCCACACGUUGGCUGACACGCGGCAGAGCGCGGGAUUCAAGCCAACUCGAGUCCGAAGUGGGCAACCCAAACCGCAUCUGGAGAACAGCCUCGACGCAAUUGGUCUGACCCGGCUUUCUGGUCCGCGACUGAGUAGGCGUUGCGCGAGUAGAUACGCACGAGUGGAACCAUGCGUAGUAAUUCUCCAGAGCGCGCUAGUCGCCCGUGUAGGCGCGUGAGUAGUUGUUUUUCCUCCGUUACAUUUCUGUUUGCUUGUUUUUCGUCUCGAUUUCGAUACUGACCCUAUUGUUAUGUGAAUUAGGAUAUGUCAAGGAAAUUCCAGAAUUUUUGGAAUCCUUUCCGUCAAGAAACUCGAGCUAGAGAACGCACGCGUCAACCAAGUAAGUAGCCAUUUGGAUUCCCACAAGCAGUACUUAUAGGAACCGCUUGGAAUAAGCAUGCAUGGUAUCAUAUCCAUAAACUUAGCUAGUCGAACCUAGCAUAUUAGUACGGAAACCGUGAAAAUGAAAUAAACAAGGAAACCUAUGGCUUCUAUAUAUGAAUGAUAAUAUAAUCUGUUUAGAUUGAGAUUCUGAUAAUGUAUGUAUGCAUGAAGAGGAUGGGAAACUUGUGAAAUCUGCGCUCCGGGUGAAGAUGGACGUUAUAUUCCUGUUGAGCAUGUUUGUUAAUAUUGCAUGAACUACUGCAUGUUAACUCCUGUGCAUGAUUGCUUGUGUUAUCUUUCUCGUUGAAUAGGAAGAAACUACAUGCUUAGAUUAGGGUGUUUGUGACUAAGUAGGUUAGACGAGACCCUAGGUUCGGAGACCUCUAGAGUAGUACCGUACAUUUAAACCCACGAAACGACUACCGGCGAAUCCAUAGCCC